rnacentral:misc_RNA from 1 species
UGGGGGCUUGCUGCCGUGAGGCGGCUCCCCUCAAAUGCAUCGGUUGGGCCUGUGGGUCGAACUCGUCUGGGUGUUGUAUCAACCUCGCUCUAAUGAGAUGUUCCCCUUCCGUGCCCAACUCCGACCUGCCUUUGGAGUGGCGGUCAAGCUAAACUUUGAAAUCUGACCUCAAAUCAGGUAGGACUACCCGCUGAACUUAA